rnacentral:rRNA from 1 species
GUCUAACACAUGUCAAUAUCUAAGCGGUAGAAGGUAGCUUGCUACCGGUAUCAGCGGCGGACGGGUGAGUAAUGCUUAGGAAUCUGCCUAUUAGUGGGGGACAACGUUCCGAAAGGGGCGCUAAUACCGCAUACGUCCUACGGGAGAAAGCAGGGGACCUUCGGGCCUUGCGCUAAUAGAUGAGCCUAAGUCGGAUUAGCUAGUUGGUAGGGUAAAGGCCUACCAAGGCGACGAUCUGUAGCGGGUCUGAGAAGAUGAUCCGCCACACUGGGACUGAGACACGGCCCAGACUCCUACGGGAGGCAGCAGUGGGGAAUAUUGGACAAUGGGGGGAACCCUGAUCCAGCCAUGCCGCGUGUGUGAAGAAGGCCUUUUGGUUGUAAAGCACUUUAAGCGAGGAGGAGGCUACCUAGAUUAAUACUUUAGGAUAGUGGACGUUACUCGCAGAAUAAGCACCGGCUAACUCUGUGCCAGCAGCCGCGGUAAUACAGAGGGUGCGAGCGUUAAUCGGAUUUACUGGGCGUAAAGCGUGCGUAGGCGGCCAAUUAAGUCAAAUGUGAAAUCCCCGAGCUUAACUUGGGAAUUGCAUUCGAUACUGGUUGGCUAGAGUAUGGGAGAGGAUGGUAGAAUUCCAGGUGUAGCGGUGAAAUGCGU